AUAAAUUUAACUUGUAGAUGACUUCUCCCAAGAUUAUUUGCAUUUUAAAUAUCUUUUAAAAAUUGAAGAGAUUUUUGAAGAGAUUUGUAUUCUGUUAAAAGAAUUUCUUUCUAAGGAGAUGAGGGGAGAAAACUGUUUACCAGAGGGAGUAGGGGCUGGCUCUGGUGAUCCCGAAAGACCACAGUUGGCCAUUCACCCCAGACUGAGAAGAAACAGGAUCUACAUCUUCAGCCCUGUCUUCUGGGUACUGACAAGAGCUUCGGGAUUAUGUAGAGAAGAAACAAAAGGAAGGUUGAGGCAUAGAAAGAGAUAUGCAGAGUCAACAGUUUUGGUCAAACUAUGGUAUAUCAGAAUGAUGGCCAUGUGGAGCCUAGUCAAGCAAUAAGAAAGUUGCUGCUCUUUGGGGGUAAUUUUUAUUACACAUGUUUAUCAGAGAUAUCUGUUCCUGGACUCCAAGCUGACUGCAGGAGAGGAUAACUCAGAAAGAAUAAGUCAGAAAGGCAAGAUGAGUUAGCUAAGACAGUGACUGAGUUUUUUUUUCAAGUUUAGGGCAAUGACUGGAGACUUUAAGGUGUCACUCCAGUGGUGUGAAACAGGAUAUUGUAAAAGGUGGUGGUUGAUUAUGAAAUACCUGCAAAUCCUUAACAUAUCUUAUUAAUUCUUAUCUUGGUUUCUUCAGCCUUGAAGGAGGAGGAAUACUAGCUUUUAACAAAAAUACUCCUUAAAUGAUUAAGAUGUCUAUGUGUGGAGUAAUAAUCUAACCUAAAGUUUAAGGUAGGGAAGGAUGCAGAUGCAAGAUAAAAUCGGAGAUGUCAAGCUUUUAUCCCAUUUUCAGUUGUGCAAGGCAUUUGCACGCCCAAUGAAGAGUCAGCACUUAUUUAGCAAAGGCAACUUCUACAUCCCUGUAACAGUAUUUUAUGAGAACUGAAAUUUCCUUCUCACAGGGAUGCAACUUAUUAAAAAUACAGCAUAGGGAAAUGAGAAGGACUUAUUUUCUAGGACUCCUGCUUCAUUCAAUAAGAUCUCUUUUAGAUAUGCUUGGGUCACAUUACAACUCUACCAGAAAAAAAAAAAAAAGUUUUUUUCUUAAAACCCAAGUUAAGUGACAUAAUGAAUUACUCUUCUCAAUUCCUAGCAUAUACUUCACAUUGUUCUUGCCAAGCCUCUCUUAUUUUUCUUGGUUCUUUACUUUCUCUCCAAUUCCCUUUCCCCCAUAUAUAACCAUCUUUUUUAAAAAUAUAUUUACUUUUAGUUGUAGUUGGACACAAUACCUUUAUUUUAUUCAUUUAUUUUUAUGUGGUGCUGAGGAUUACACCAUAGGGUCUCGAGCGUGCAAGGCAAGCGCUCUACCACUGAGCCACAACCCCAGCCCCUCCCAUAUAUAACCAUCUUUAAUAUGUCUUUCCAGCCAACCUUUUAUGUAUAUAUUUAGCCAUAUGUGUCUUUAAAUAUGUAUAUGGGAAUAUGUGUAUGUGUAUGCAUGAGCCCACACGCGCACUUGUGUAUGUAUAGAUAGUGGUUUUUAAAAC
rnacentral:lncRNA from 1 species